rnacentral:rRNA from 1 species
UACGAAGGGGGCUAGCGUUGCUCGGAAUGACUGGGCGUAAAGGGCGCGUAGGCGGAUGUUACAGUCAGGCGUGAAAUUCCUGGGCUCAACCUGGGGGCUGCGUUUGAUACGUGAUGUCUGGAGUUCGGAAGAGGGUCGUGGAAUUCCCAGUGUAGAGGUGAAAUUCGUAGAUAUUGGGAAGAACACCGGUGGCGAAGGCGGCCAUCUGGACGAAUACUGACGCUGAGGCGCGAAAGCGUGGGGAUCAAACAGG